rnacentral:rRNA from 1 species
UUGGCUUCUUUGCUGACGAGUGGCGGACGGGUGAGUAAUGUCUGGGAAACUGCCUGAUGGAGGGGGAUAACUACUGGAAACGGUAGCUAAUACCGCAUAACGUCGCAAGACCAAAGAGGGGGACCUUCGGGCCUCUUGCCAUCGGAUGUGCCCAGAUGGGAUUAGCUAGUAGGUGGGGUAACGGCUCACCUAGGCGACGAUCCCUAGCUGGUCUGAGAGGAUGACCAGCCACACUGGAACUGAGACACGGUCCAGACUCCUACGGGAGGCAGCAGUGGGGAAUAUUGCACAAUGGGCGCAAGCCUGAUGCAGCCAUGCCGCGUGUAUGAAGAAGGCCUUCGGGUUGUAAAGUACUUUCAGCGGGGAGGAAGGGAGUAAAGUUAAUACCUUUGCUCAUUGACGUUACCCGCAGAAGAAGCACCGGCUAACUCCGUGCCAGCAGCCGCGGUAAUACGGAGGGUGCAAGCGUUAAUCGGAAUUACUGGGCGUAAAGCGCACGCAGGCGGUUUGUUAAGUCAGAUGUGAAAUCCCCCGG